rnacentral:tRNA from 1 species
CGGGGCGUGGCUCAGUUUUGGCUAGAGCGCUCGGUUCGGGACCGUGAGGUCGCUGGUUCGAGUCCAGUCGCCCCGA